rnacentral:rRNA from 1 species
AGGAUUGUCCAAGAGAAGUAGAGGACAGUGGCGGACGGGUGAGUAACGCGUGAGGAACCUGCUUUCAGAGGGGGACAACAGUUGGAAACGACUGCUAAUACCGCAUGACACAUUGGAGUCGCAUGGCUCUGAUGUCAAAGAUUUAUCGCUGAAAGAUGGCCUCGCGUCUGAUUAGCUAGUUGGUGAGGUAACGGCCCACCAAGGCGACGAUCAGUAGCCGGACUGAGAGGUUGACCGGCCACAUUGGGACUGAGAUACGGCCCAGACUCCUACGGGAGGCAGCAGUGGGGAAUAUUGGGCAAUGGGCGCAAGCCUGACCCAGCAACGCCGCGUGAAGGAAGAAGGCUUUCGGGUUGUAAACUUCUUUUGUCAGGGACGAGUAGAAGACGGUACCUGACGAAUAAGCCACGGCUAACUACGUG